rnacentral:rRNA from 1 species
UACGUAGGGGGCAAGCGUUGUCCGGAUUUAUUGGGCGUAAAGAGCGUGUAGGCGGUUCGGUAGGUCCGUUGUGAAAACUCGAGGCUCAACCUCGAGACGCCGAUGGAAACCCUCGAACUAGAGUCCGGAAGAGGAGAGUGGAAUUCCUGGUGUAGCGGUGAAGUGCGCAGAUAUCAGGAAGAACACCCGUGGCUAAGGCGGCUCUCUAGUACGGUACUGACGCUGAGACGCGAAAGCGUGGGGAGCGAACAGG